CAACGACUCUCGGCAACGGAUAUCUCGGCUCUUGCAUCGAUGAAGAACGUAGCGAAAUGCGAUACUUGGUGUGAAUUGCAGAAUCCCGUGAACCAUCGAGUCUUUGAACGCAAGUUGCGCCCAAAGCCGUCAGGCCGAGGGCACGUCUGCCUGGGCGUCACGC
rnacentral:rRNA from 1 species